rnacentral:lncRNA from 1 species
UGUCAAUAGGAAUUCCUGUAGUGAUAGUAGUAUAAGUGAUCCUUGGAAUUGAGAUCAUCAUAAUAUCUUGUGUAUGAUGAGUUAUACUUUGACUUAUUCCUUAAGACCCUUAGGGUAUAUCAAAGGGUAUGCUUGGGUAUAAUAAGUUGUACAUGGAGAUAAUGUAUGAUCAAUAAAGAAUCUACCACUUCUAGUAAAAGAAGAGAAAUGUCCUAUGUGAUUCGAU